AGAAAUGUAGCUUAGUGGUAGAGCACUUGCCUUGUAUGCAGGAGACCCUGAUUUUGAUCCCCAGCACUGCCA
rnacentral:tRNA from 1 species